rnacentral:misc_RNA from 1 species
GUUCUGGGAAACGACAUUUAUGUAAUGGAUUCUAAGGUCAAGAAAGUGGGCGGAUUCGGCUCAAAGGUCAAGAAGGACAAGCCCCGGGACGGGUUCGAUGAGCGGGUUGUGCAAGUUCGGAGGGUCACUAAAGUGGUUAAAGGUGGGAAACAGUUGCAUUUUAGGGCAAUUGUUGUUGUGGGUGAUAAACAGGGCCAAGUGGGUGUUGGUGUCGGUAAAGCUAAAGAAGUCAUCGCCGCUGUUCAGAAAUCGGCAGUCAAUGCUCGCCGGAACAUUGUCACCGUUCCCAUGACCAAAUACCUAACAUUCCCCCACAGGUCGGAGGGAGAUUAUG